AUGGCCGGCACCAGAAGCUCCUCGAGCCACAAGCAGAAGAUCAAAGUAAAUCCCUAUGAGCACCAUUGUCCUAGUGUCAACAGAGCUGAAAGAUUGAGAGCAGCCAAGAGGAGAUGGAUUGUUGAUGCUGUGCAGAACUGGAAGAAUUGGAAAAGGCCAGCUAUGAGAGGACCAUCUCCCUGCAAGAAGAGGAAGAUGAGCACUACUUCUACAGUAGCAGGCACACAUGGGUCAGUGACUGGCAGCAAUAUGCAUGAGAAAACUGCUGCAACUCAAGAGGAAGUGCAGGCUGAUGUGCCCCAAAUCCCAGCAAAAGUGACUAGAAGCAGAGCUAAGGAGAUGCCAAACCCAGCAGGAAACACCAGGAGCAAAAGGGCCAAAUCAUGA
rnacentral:rRNA from 1 species